UGCAGCAACGCCGCGUGAGGGAUAGACGGCCUAUCGGGUUGUAAACCUCUUUUAGUAGGGAAGAAGCGAAAGUGACGGUACCUGCAGAAAAAGCACCGGCUAACUACGUGCCAGCAGCCGCGGUAAUACGUAGGGUGCAAGCGUUGUCCGGAAUUAUUGGGCGUAAAGAGCUCGUAGGCGGUUUGUCGCGUCUGCUGUGAAAUCCCGAGGCUCAACCUCGGGCUUGCAGUGGGUACGGGCAGACUAGAGUGCGGUAGGGGAGAUUGGAAUUCCUGGUGUAGCGGUGGAAUGCGCAGAUAUCAGGAGGAACACCGAUGGCGAAGGCAGAUCUCUGGGCCGUAACUGACGCUGAGGAGCGAAAGCAUGGGGAGCGAACAGGAUUAGAUACCCUGGUAGUCCAUGCCGUAAACGUUGGGCGCUAGAUGUAGGGACCUUUCCACGGUUUCUGUGUCGUAGCUAACGCAUUAAGCGCCCCGCCUGGGGAGUACGGCCGCAAGGCUAAAACUCAAAGGAAUUGACGGGGGCCCGCACAAGCGGCGGAGCAUGCGGAUUAAUUCGAUGCAACGCGAAGAACCUUACCAAGGCUUGACAUACACCGGAAACGGCCAGAGAUGGUCGCCCCCUUGUGGU
rnacentral:rRNA from 1 species